GAUGAACGCUGGCGGCGUGCCUAAUACAUGCAAGUCGAGCGGAUGGAUUAAGAGCUCGCUCUUAUGAAGUUAGCGGCGGACGGGUGAGUAACACGUGGGUAACCUGCCCAUAAGACUGGGAUAACUCCGGGAAACCGGGGCUAAUACCGGAUAACAUUUUGAACCGCAUGGUUCGAAAUUGAAAGGCGGCUUCGGCUGUCACUUAUGGAUGGACCCGCGUCGCAUUAGCUAGUUGGUGAGGUAACGGCUCACCAAGGCAACGAUGCGUAGCCGACCUGAGAGGGUGAUCGGCCACACUGGGACUGAGACACGGCCCAGACUCCUACGGGAGGCAGCAGUAGGGAAUCUUCCGCAAUGGACGAAAGCCUGACGGAGCAACGCCGCGUGAGUGAUGAAGGCUUUCGGGUCGUAAAACUCUGUUGUUAGGGAAGAACAAGUGCUAGUUGAAUAAGCUGGCACCUUGACGGUACCUAACCAGAAAGCCACGGCUAACUACGUGCCAGCCGCCGCGGUAA
rnacentral:rRNA from 1 species